GUUGAGUGGUUUCGGAGAUUAGCGUGGAGAAAAAUUUGAACAAGAUAUAUAUAUAUAGGGAGAGUGUGAGCUAAUAGAAGGAAUUGAAAAAGAAAGUUAUUAUACAGGAUUUAAUAUUUUGUUACAUUAUGUAAAUGAGCUGUGAUAUAAGUACAGGCGCAGUGUUCUCUCUCGCCUUCUCUCUUCGUUGGUUGGUGGUAUGUCGUCCUGUUAUUGUCCUGGGUGUAGUGAACUUUGUCAACUGUUGUGGAUGUUAUUACUUGUUGUGGACAUUACUACUUGUGGUGAACAUUAUUACCGUUGUGGACAUUAUCUUGCGUUGUGAACGUUGUUAUUUGUUGUAGACGUUAUCGCCUAGCUCGGCCUUGUGUUUUUUUGUAUUGGAGUUGUGUUUGCCGAGAACUUUAAGAAGAGAGAACAAGUAUGAUUUUUAAUUAGAUUAACAAGUUACUUAAUAGUUAGCUAUUUUGAAUAAAUUUAAAUUCUUUACUUGUUUAUUUAAUGUCGUCAUUAUUGGAAGUCGUGAGAAUGAUUUUGGACUGGCUGGAGACCUGGGAGUGGGGUGGUUAUAUCCGCUUUGGUUGGAGAAGAAGAAAUGCCGAUCAGAGACCCCGGGGUCCGAACCUCGGCGAGGAGCCAUCCCUUGCAACCUUUUUUAGAAAGAUAG
rnacentral:lncRNA from 1 species